ensembl:snRNA U6 U6 spliceosomal RNA
GCACUUCAGCAGUACAUAUACUAAAAUUGGAAUGACACAGAGAUUAGCAUGGCCCCUGCACAGCGAUCGCACACAAAUUAAUGAAGCAUUCCACAUUUUU